GAAUGGAGGAGGCAGGCUGAGGAUGCAUGGCGCGAGGGUGAAGAACGCCUUCUGGUUGUAAAGCUCUUUCCGCCGGGAAGAAAUCGCAUAGGUUAAUACCCUGUGUGGAUGACGGUACCGGAAUAAGAAGCACCGGCUAACUACGUGCCAGCAGCCGCGGUAAUACGUAGGGUGCGAGCGUUAAUCGGAAUUACUGGGCGUAAAGCGUGCGCAGGCGGUUUCGUAAGACAGAGGUGAAAUCCCCGGGCUCAACCUGGGAACUGCCUUUGUGACUGCGAAGCUAGAGUACGGCAGAGGGGGGUGGAAUUCCACGUGUAGCAGUGAAAUGCGUAGAGAUGUGGAGGAACACCGAUGGCGAAGGCAGCCCCCUGGGCCGAUACUGACGCUCAUGCACGAAAGCGUGGGUAGCAAACAGGAUUAGAUACCCUGGUAGUCCACGCCCUAAACGAUGUCAACUAGGUGUUGGGUGGGUAAAACCAUUUAGUACCGUAGCUAACGCGGAAGUUGACCGCCUGGGGAGUACGGCCGCAAGGUUA
rnacentral:rRNA from 1 species